AUUGAACGCUGGCGGCAGGCCUAACACAUGCAAGUCGAGCGAGCGGCGGACGGGUGAGUAAUGUAUGGGGACUGCCCGAUAGAGGGGGAGAACAACAGGAAAAGGUAGCUAAUACCGCAUACAAUCGGAUAACACAUAUGGGAUUAGCGAGUGGGUGAGGUAAAGGCUCACAAAGUCGACGAUCCCUAGCUGUUGUGAGAGGAUGAUCAGCCACACUGGUACUGAGACACGGCCCAGACUCCUACGGAGGCAGCAGUGGGGAAUAUUGCACAAUGGGCGCAAUCUUGAUUCAGCCAUGCCGCGUGUAUGAAGAAGGCCCUAGGGUUGUAAAGUACUUUCAGUCGGGAGGCGUUACCGACAGAAGAAGCACCGGCUAACUCCGUGCCAGCAGCCGCGGUAAUUC
rnacentral:rRNA from 1 species